rnacentral:lncRNA from 1 species
CAAGGAUUACAUACUGAAGUCGAGUUAUGUCCUUCAGCCAGAGAAAGCAGUUAUAAAACUUUGGAAACUGAAGCACAUGGCUGUUUAAUCAUUUUUCUUUUCCUCGUGUCCAAAAUGCCUCCUGGCCAGUCAGUCAUAGCCUGGCCAGUCAGUCAUAGCCUGGCAGAUGCACUUAGCCUCCAGAGAAGCAGGUGGAAUGGUACUGAGCACUUUAGGUCAAGGUGCUGGAUCGGACUUGAGGCCAGAAAUGGGACUAUGGAAGAUGUGAGAAGCCUUACAUUUCUGAGCUAUGUUGGGAAGCCUCCCAGCUACAGGUCAGCCCAAGCCCCUGCCUCACUGUCUGCAAACUGGAUGAGAACCACCUCCCUAUGUUCGGUUUGCUUGACUUCCAAC